rnacentral:rRNA from 1 species
AUUGAACGCUGGCGGCAGGCUUAACACAUGCAAGUCGAACGAGUGGCGGACGGGUGAGUAAUGCUUGGGAAUCUGCCUGAUGGAGGGGGAUAACUACGGGCAACGGUAGCUAAUACCGCGUACCAUCGGAUGUGCCCAGGUGGGAUUCGUUAGUUGGUGGGGUAAAGGCUCACCAGGUCGACGAUCUCUAGCUGGUCUGAGCGGAUGACCAGCCACACUGGGACUGAGACACGGCCCAGACUCCUACGGGAGGCAGCAGUGGGGAAUAUUGCGCAAUGGGCGCAACCCUGAGGCAGCCAUGCCGCGUGAAUGAAGAAGGCCUUCGGGUUGUAAAGUUCUUUCGGUGGCGAGGCGUUACCUGCAGAAGAAGCACCGGCUAACUCCGUGCCAGCAGCCGCGGUAAUUC